GCCUAACACAUGCAAGUCGAACGAAGCUCCUGCGUUGAUCUCGGAUGAAACAAGGGAAGACUUAGUGGCGGACGGGUGAGUAACGCGUGAGCAACCUGCCUUUCAGAGGGGGACAACAGUUGGAAACGACUGCUAAUACCGCAUGACGUAUUGAUGUCGCAUGGCAUUGAUACCAAAGCUGAGGCGCUGAGAGAUGGGCUCGCGUCCGAUUAGAUAGUUGGUGGGGUAACGGCCUACCAAGUCGACGAUCGGUAGCCGGACUGAGAGGUUGAACGGCCACAUUGGGACUGAGACACGGCCCAGACUCCUACGGGAGGCAGCAGUGGGGGAUAUUGCACAAUGGGCGAAAGCCUGAUGCAGCAACGCCGCGUGAGGGAAGACGGUUUUCGGAUUGUAAACCUCUGUCUUUGGUGAAGAAGGAAGUGACGGUAGCCAAGGAGGAAGCCACGGCUAACUACGUGCCAGCCGCCGC
rnacentral:rRNA from 1 species